UUGAAUCAGAAGCACAACAAGUUGCAAGGACUGACUCUGUUUACAAUUGGUGUCAGCACUGGCUACAUGUCUUUCGCACUAUAUAUGGCCUGGCCACGAGUCAUCACACCUGACCUGAGAGGUGAGAGACAUGCAUUUAGAUGCAUGGACAAUGAGAGAAUGCCCCGCUGAGCAAACGUCCAUACUACCAGGAAGAGGCUAAAGAUCACCCACGCAAACACCCUGGCCCCUCCCAUGGCCAAGCUGUAAAGACAGCAGCAAGAGGUGGCUGGCCAGAUCCGAUCUACCGCAGCCAGUCAGGUGUAGCAACGGCAUUCUGACACACGCAAACACACACAGUUUGAAUGUUUGAUCAACUCCUUUACACAGCUGACACAUCAAGCYAACCACCAUUUGUCAACUGACUAAUGACCUUAAAGCCAGCAGUUAAAAGUAAACGUAGGCCUAUGUUAUGCUUCAUUUUGUAUCCUCUGACCUGUUUUGAACAGUACACACACAUCCUAUAAUUCUGCACAAAAAAKAAUGUGAAAUCCUGACAAGCUCKGACCGGUAAGGUAAUAAAGCAUUCCCAUCAUCACACACAAAUCAACCUAGUCCCAUUAACACCCCACACUGCAAAUGAGUGAUGGCAGAGAUGAGAAGAGMGAGAGUGAGGGUGGGAGAUAGAGAGGGCGAGGAAGACGGUUGAAAGUAAGGCGGUACAGUCCGGUACUGCGUCCCGGCAAAAUACAUGACCCUAUCACAAUAAUUAAAACAAAAUGUCAAGAAAACUAAGCUAUUACACCAUGAUUUAUCAUUAGGCUACCAUAUGUCAGAGGCAUGAAAAAUGAACGAAUGGACUUCAAAACGGGUGGUAUGGCCUAUGCUCAAAAAUGCGAUGUGGUUCGACAAGAAUAUUGACAUUUUGCCAAGGCAGAGAUGAAUGGCCGACACUGAAACAUGCAAGGACMGCAGUGGAUGCAUAAAUUCUGGCCUAAUGACAAUCACCAAAAUGUCAUUACACUUUGUGGUGUUUUGUGGAACAGAUGUCUCUUUCCAUUCACAACUGUUUGGAGGCUGGAAAUAUGUUGCGAGUGGGUGAAUGUGCACGGGUAGCCUAGUAAAGGAGCCCUUUGAUGUAUUUCGGUAAGAAAUUACAUCUACCUUCACCCCUAGACAGAGAGAGGAGAACGGAGAGAGAGGAAAACGGAGAGGUAGAAAGUGAGAGACAGAUGAAAAGGGAGAGGAAGACCCAGACAUUCACACUGGGGCCUGUAAUGUGGUGUGGGAAAUGACCAGGGAGGUCUCUGUUUCACUCCAUCCCACGUCUCCUCCGAUCAAAUCAUUUAGUGGAUGCACCCGAUGCAAACCGCCGUGCUCUUUGCUGGGGUGAGAGGCAACACCAAUGAAUGGAGGGACAGAGCCGUGGAGGGGUGCUGAGAGAAAGCUCUGGCUGAGCCAAGCAGUGAGGGGGUCCUACGCUUCGACCAGGCCUGGGGGGCUUUUAUGGCUUUUGUCGCCACGGCAGCUCACCUAUUGAGGGGAGCCCCUAAGAUAUGUAAAACAGCAACGUUUCAAAGCCUCAUCUCCACUGUGAAAAACAAAGAAAUAAAGAAAUCAAAUUAAAGUCUGGAAAGGAGUGAGUAAGAGUAGAAUAAGAGAAAAAGAAAGUAUCCUCUGUAGUAAAAAGCAAAGGGGGGCAGUAGCCAAGCCGUUUGCUGGAAUCCGAUGAGUGUUGAGAAAUAAAUAAAUAAAAGAAUCAAUAAAAAACGGGGUGAGGUGGAAAGAGCUUACUAUGCUCUUGUUUGCCCAGAGUGUUAUUUUCUUUUCUCAUUGAGUCAGGCCAAGUCCUGCAAGCGGCUUGGUGCCUCUCCCACCCAGCAUUGAGAGGCAGGUCUGGGCUUGCCCGGCCAAGGUCGGCCACGGCUGCCAGGAACGCAUACGGCUCAGCCUGCCCCCAGCUGCCAUGGUCCUUGUUUAUGUUUGUUUUUUGUUCCUCUCAGUAAAUGUCCCUCCCCUCCACCCCCCAAGGGAGGGACAGUCU